ACGCACGCUGGCGGCGUGCUUAACACCUGCAAGUCGAACGAAGAGCGAUGGAAGCUUGCUUCUAUCAAUCUUAGUGGCGAACGGGUGAGUAACGCGUAAUCAACCUGCCCUUCAGAGGGGGACAACAGUUGGAAACGACUGCUAAUACCGCAUACGAUCUAAUCUCGGCAUCGAGGAUAGAUGAAAGGUGGCCUCUACAUGUAAGCUAUCACUGAAGGAGGGGAUUGCGUCUGAUUAGCUAGUUGGAGGGGUAACGGCCCACCAAGGCGAUGAUCAGUAGCCGGUCUGAGAGGAUGAACGGCCACAUUGGGACUGAGACACGGCCCAGACUCCUACGGGAGGCAGCAGUGGGGAAUCUUCCGCAAUGGACGAAAGUCUGACGGAGCAACGCCGCGUGAGUGAUGACGGCCUUCGGGUUGUAAAGCUCUGUUAAUCGGGACGAAAGGCCUUCUUGCGAAUAGUGAGAAGGAUUGACGGUACCGGAAUAGAAAGCCACGGCUAACUACGUG
rnacentral:rRNA from 1 species